GACCGGAGAGCCAAAAGGGCGGAAGUCCAACUCGCGCGAGAACUUAACGCGAACCGGGCGGGGAGCGCUGUCUACGUGACCCUUGCUCUUUCGCCCUUCCGGCUUUAAUAAUCUCGCGACACUACCCAGAGGCUCGUUCCCACCGUGCUGCCACAGCGCCCUCGUGUGUCGGGAGGCCGCGCAGCGGGCCGCGGGCUGAGUAGGAGAUGGCCGUGCGCAGGAGCUUGCAGACUGUCAGAGCCAUUCAACUCACAUCAGUUUUCCCGUGGUUUCCAUUGCCCUGAGGGUGCCUUUCUCUACAGCCCAUCCACCACCACCCACCCCACCCCCCGUCUAUAAAUGGAUCUCUCACACCAUUCCAGUUCCUCCAUUGAGCUACCCUACUGAAAGGUGCUGAACUUCAUAAUGGGUCCCCUUUAACUUCUCAGAAGACAUUGUCUGGAAUGGAUGGGAGCUGGAGUCUCACUAAUCAUCAGUCAAGAUACUCAUCAGCUGGACUUUUUCUACAACAAGGAAACAUAUGAAAUUUCUCUCUGUUAAUGAAGCCAUCUUUGUUCGGAUUGGUCAUGUUAAAAGCACUUGAACUCC